rnacentral:rRNA from 1 species
CACGUAGGGCGCAAGCGUUGUCCGGAAUUAUUGGGCGUAAAGAGCUCGUAGGCGGUCUGUUGCGUCCGCUGUGAAAACUCGGGGCUUAACCCCGAGCCUGCAGUGGAUACGGGCAGACUAGAGGUAGGUAGGGGAGAAUGGAAUUCCCGGUGUAGCGGUGAAAUGCGCAGAUAUCGGGAGGAACACCGGUGGCGAAGGCGGUUCUCUGGGCCUUACCUGACGCUGAGGAGCGAAGCGUGGAGAGCGAACAGG